GAGACGUCGGGGCGAGGUCCCAGGGAGAGUUCUCUUCUCUUCUUAACAAAUCGCUGCCCUGGAGGUCAUUGCGACGAGAUAGGGCUUUAGAUUUGGCAGAGCAGCACGCCUCCUGUGCUGUCUGGUGUACCUCCUUCGGCCCUUGAAAAUCUGAGGGAAACCUUAUCGCACGCUAGGCCGUACCGAUAACCGCAUCAGGUCUCCAAGGUGAACAGCCUCUAGUCGAUAGAAUAAAGUAGAUAAGGGAAUUCGGCAAAAUAGAUCUGUAACUUUGGGAAAAAGAU
rnacentral:rRNA from 1 species